GCACCGCUGAUGAGACCCAAGCAGGUCGAAACAGCUGUCCAGUGC
rnacentral:hammerhead_ribozyme from 1 species